CAUUGAUAUACUGGGCUUUCAAAAAUAAUAUAAAAAUUUGUGUUAAAAUUUCUGCAUUUCAAUGCUUUCGUUUAAAUACUUUUUUAAUCAUUAAUAUAGUUAAAUUCAAAUUUAAUAUUGCCGAAAAUAUUUUUGAAAUGAGGACUGGUAUUCGCACUCAAAAGUAUAUGAAUUCACACAUAUAUAAGCCAAACACAUAGAUUGGAUAACAAUAGUUGCCAUGAAAAGUGGAAAUAAUGAAAACACAAGGAAGCGAACUGGCGAUGUCUUCAGGCAAAGCAACACUUAAGAUAACAAAGCAGUCAAGUAGAAAAACAACACGAAAAGAAAGCAAAUAAAAUGUUGAAAGAAUAACAAAAAUACCAACACAUACACAGCAAGACACAGGCACACAAACAGCCAUGUAAAUAUGUAUAAGUAAAAGUGUGUGCGUAUGUGUAUUCUAAUAUAACUGCGUCUCAUGCUAGCCACUUUGAAUGGGUGUAAAUAUGCUGCUGGGCCAAGUUAGAAAACAGCAACUAACCGAAAUACAAAAACAUAGAAUGAAAACUGAAGCGAGCAACAAAAGCUGGCUGAGGCAAACGUGCAAUAAAGGCGCCCGCCUAGAAGCGGGAAAAUAUACACACGACAAAAUACAGCAAGUUUAUACAAAAGUAAAAACAACAAAAAAUAUGUGAGAAAAGAAAAGGCGAAGCAAAUAGAAAAAACAACAAAACAAGUCAGGCAAAUGUGAGUUGCGCCGUACAACCUUUCACAUUUGGUCUACUUCCGGCGAUUGCGCACAACAACACAACGGUGUGUGAUAAAAUUAUAUGCGUACAUACGCAGCACGGACAUGUGUACUAGCUAAAGGCGAGAUAAUAUGUCGUAGUACUUAGUAAAAAUAAUUAAGAAGAACUGUUUUAAAUAUUUUUGUCUGUCACUGAAGAGUUUAUGAAUUGAUGAAGCGAUCGGGAGCUACGUUUAUGAUCUCUUGAUACCCAUAUUCAGUUUAUGUCAUCCCUGAGAGCCUUUUAGUAACAAAAAAAAAAAACCUUAUAAAAACUGAUUAUCAUGACGAAUAAAUCUUCGGAAAUUCUCA